AGAGUAUAACUGUCUUGGUGCUCACACGCAGUCUUGCCGACUCUGCUGCUGAGCGGCCUGCUCUGUCUGGCUACUGUCAAGUGAAAGGAGGCUUUGGUUGGGUGUGACGGCAGCUACACACAGUCUUCCCCACCUCCUAGACUUCACCCGCCUCAGGAAGGUGACCUUGGGAAGAGCUCUGAGUCAUAGGGAGGGAGUGGAGUUGGGGCGGGGAUCUUGAGCCACCUGUGUCCUCUGCUUUCAGUCCCCUCCCCGGUCCCCGGAGGCACUUGGUGCUUGCUGGCCUCUGCUCUCCAACCCUCUGGGUGAGCAAUGGGCUCAACAUGUUCCUGAAGCUACAACAGGGUAGUGAGCCCGAAGCUGGCUGAACAGUCACCAAGAGGACUCUGGGAUCACGGAUUGGAUUUGUGCCUCAGGUGGCCCUCCGUCUCCCAUCCCUAAUGCAAAACAGCCCUCCCCCGACAGGACUCAGUGUAGCUGGGACUCUAGCCAGCUACUCACCCCCACCGUGGACCAUGGCUCCCAGGAUGGAAGGAAACCACGAGGUCUCACUGUUGCUGGCCUGAAAGUCGCGCUGCAGAUCAGUGAAGAAGACACCGAUGCAGGAGGAUCAGACCGUGGGCGGGUAAAAUGCUGGUGUCUCCCAAAGUGGACAUGGACCUGUCUCCAAACUUCCAUUAUGAGCUGCCCAUGUACCAGCACCAACUUUCCUACCACCGGGAGAUCAACCUGAGCUCACCACCAGCGAGCAAGCUGGCACAGGAGGCACAGAUGCCAGCUCAGCAAGGACAGCCGAGCUGCAGGCUUGCAGAGAGAAGCCUUUGAAACCACCUUACCACACUCCCUUUACAAGGUGUGGAAGAUCAAGAGUGGGGCUCCACAGCUGUGCUGAAUCUUGUUGCCUGCAAGGGGCUUUUUCUGAGUAUACA